AAGGGCGCCACAUCCGGACUAACCAAAUAAAACAGCUUGCAACAAGGCAUCCGUGAUCGGUCCUUCAGUCACCGUUCAGCGUUGUAGGUAUUUCUCUACAACAGUCUAGUUUGUGAAGUAGAGCGCCGCCCGAAUGAUCUUGUACUCAUUUUUUCCACAGUUAAGUCCUUGAUAAUACAGUUAAGUUAGGUAAAUUUGCAUAAGUACAAAUAAAUCAUGUGGGUGAAAACAUCGUUACUUUAAACAGACGAUAAGUGUAGAAUCGUACAAUAUUGGUAUUAUAACAGUGGUAUUUUACUUAAAGUAAAAUGUUUUAAAUUAAAUCAUCAUCAUCGACGUCAGAUACAACUUCUACAUCAUCACGAAUAAGAUACAGUUUGUUCAUAUCUGGGAAAUGCUGUCACCUUACGACGAAGAUAAGAUGUGCACGUCGUAAAUAUAUUACUCCUGAUGAACCCAAAGAUCUUCUUUUUUCAUUACCAGAAAACUGGAAAACAGCUACAAUGGAUGCUUCGCGAUGUCUUCUCGGGCCGUUGACGCACGCACCCGCCGCCCUGGACUAUCCCGUUCACCCGUUGGGACGCUGUCUGUCCCGUUCUGC